rnacentral:rRNA from 1 species
GACGAACGCUGGCGGCGUGCCUAAUACAUGCAAGUUGAGCGAUGAAGCUUGGUGCUUGCACCAAUUUGAAGAGCAGCGAACGGGUGAGUAACGCGUGGGGAAUCUGCCUUUGAGCGGGGGACAACAUUUGGAAACGAAUGCUAAUACCGCAUAACAACUUUAAACAUAAGUUUUAAGUUUGAAAGAUGCAAUUGCAUCACUCAAAGAUGAUCCCGCGUUGUAUUAGCUAGUUGGUGAGGUAAAGGCUCACCAAGGCGAUGAUACAUAGCCGACCUGAGAGGGUGAUCGGCCACAUUGGGACUGAGACACGGCCCAAACUCCUACGGGAGGCAGCAGUAGGGAAUCCUCGGCAAUGGACGAAAGUCUGACCGAGCAACGCCGCGGGAGUGAAGAAGGUUUUCGGAUCGUAAAACUCUGUUGGUAGAGAAGAACGUUGGUGAGAGUGGAAAGCUCAUCAAGUGACGGUAACUACCCAGAAAGGGACGGCUAACUACGUG